GUUGUUUGUUGUUGCUGAGCUUUAACCACGUUUGUUGUUGCUGAACUUCACCACGUGUUAAAAGGGCAUUUCACGUGUAAAUCAGUGGACAUUUCAAAGUUGUUUCCUCAUCUCCUUCCAAUUCUUUCUACAGUGAUGAUGAAUGUUCUGCUCCUUUCCUAUUUUUCUAUACACAUAUUAUAAAUUUGUGCUUCCACACAUUAUUUCUUCCACAUUCUACCUCGGUUUUUUAGCUUGCAACUACUAAAGGUGGAGUUGAUGCAAUGAGCGAACUAGAAGUGAGGUUACUAUACCCGACUUAGAAGACUAUGAACGAUUAGCCUGUGGAAUAGAAAACCUGAGAAAUCUAAUGUUUUUAUGUCUUUAAGACAUUGAUAGCCAACUAAACUUGCAGAACAUGUGAAUGUAUUUGCAUAUAUCUUAUUAUUAGUCACAUCUAGAAA